ensembl:lncRNA
UGGAAAGUAAACAAUAGAGUGAUUGUCGGCUUACACGAUGGGGCCAGCAGCCCUACUGCUGAGGAGAUGUAUGUAAAAACCCAGAUCAGCAAGCAGUCUUGAUGUUUUCUUCUUGGAGUUGGAUGUUGUCAAGGAUUCAGAUGAGCCACCCCAGUCUAAACCUCCUAACUAGUUCUGAAGAGUAUGGAGCUGACAUAGAUUUAUAAGGACAAGAACUCAUCAUAAUGGACUUGAUAAUAAAACACUAGUAGACAUGCUGCGUGCAGUGCCCAUCUGAGUUAGAGCUUUUAGUGUGGUUAAUUGAUACAGUUACUCCAGAACAAGUCUAUAAGGCAUUUUGUAUGGCUCUAAGUUUUAAAAGCCGCUCUUUUCCCCUUUGACAGCGCUGCCUAUUCUUCACACAUAUCUCAUUAUCAUUUACCUUUACAUGAGGGGUGGCAUAUAAUUACUGCCUAGUAAAUAGUUUCUUUUGCAAUAUCCAUGAUGUUCAAAGACAGCAGAGUUCAAAAAGGUCCAGGAGAAGGGAAGUCUGUAGUCUUCUAAGAAUGACAAAUAGCCACUGGAGAGAGAAAAGAAAAGAAGAGAGAAAGGAAUACUUGACAAAGCGCAAGACCACUAAGUACGGAUCGCCCACUGCUCCACCAUCAAGUGUUACUCAUGCUACUGCUGGCAUUGUCCAAAGGAUACCCUGAUGUCUAU